rnacentral:lncRNA from 1 species
CGCGGCCGGCCAGCCUCAGCCUACCUGGAGCUGGACUACAUUUCCCAGAGCCACCGCGUUCCGAACUCGGCUUCAUUUCCGUUUGCUCGCGCGAUUCGGGGGCCUUGCGUGGGGAGAGGGCUGCGUCUGUGGAGGAGCUUGGCCUGGCUUCCGCGGGGCGGGCGAACCCGAAACCGGGCGGAAACCCCGGGGACGAGAUCCUGGACCCUGAACUGCACCCUCUGUCGAGAGCCCAGAGGAAGAAUGGCUGUCAUACAAUCAAAAACAAGCUCCAGUGUGAGUAGAUGUUUCCUCUUUGUUUCCUGAAAUGCCUUUGUUUUUUUUCAGAACAUAGGAAUCUUUGCUUACUUUUUGAAAUU